AACGAACGCUGGCGGCAUGCCUAACACAUGCAAGUCGAACGAGACCUUCGGGUCGUAGUGGCGCACGGGUGCGUAACACGUGGGAAUCUGCCCUUAGGUUCGGAAUAACAGUUGGAACGACUGCUAAUACCGGAUAAUGACGUAAGUCCAAAGAUUUAUCGCCUAAGGAUGAGCCCGCGUCGGAUUAGCUUGUUGGUGGGGUAAAGGCCUACCAAGGCGACGAUCCGUAGCUGGUCUGAGAGGAUGAUCAGCCACACUGGGACUGAGACACGGCCCAGACUCCUACGGGAGGCAGCAGUGGGGAAUAUUGGACAAUGGGCGAAAGCCUGAUCCAGCAAUGCCGCGUGAGUGAUGAAGGCCUUAGGGUUGUAAAGCUCUUUUACCCGGGAUGA
rnacentral:rRNA from 1 species